GACGAACGCUGGCGGCGUGCCUAAUACAUGCAAGUUGAGCGAUGAAGAUUGGUGCUUGCACCAAUUUGAAGAGCAGCGAACGGGUGAGUAACGCGUGGGGAAUCUGCCUUUGAGCGGGGGACAACAUUUGGAAACGAAUGCUAAUACCGCAUAACAACUUUAAACAUAAGUUUUAAGUUUGAAAGAUGCAAUUGCAUCACUCAAAGAUGAUCCCGCGUUGUAUUAGCUAGUUGGUGAGGUAAAGGCUCACCAAGGCGAUGAUACAUAGCCGACCUGAGAGGGUGAUCGGCCACAUUGGGACUGAGACACGGCCCAAACUCCUACGGGAGGCAGCAGUAGGGAAUCUUCGGCAAUGGACGAACGUCUGACCGAGCAACGCCGCGUGAGUGAAGAAGGUUUUCGGAUCGUAAAACUCUGUUGGUAGAGAAGAACGUUGGUGAGAGUGGAAAGCUCAUCAAGUGACGGUAACUACCCAGAAAGGGACGGCUAACUACGUG
rnacentral:rRNA from 1 species